GAUGAACGCUGGCGGCGUGCUUAACACAUGCAAGUCGAACGGAAAGGCUCCUGCUUGCAGGGGUACUCGGGUGGCGAACGGGUGAGUAACACGUGGGUGAUCUGCCCUGCACUUCGGGAUAAGCCUGGGAAACUGGGUCUAAUACCGGAUAGGACGAUGGUUUGGAUGCCAUUGUGGAAAGUUUUUCGGUGUGGGAUGAGCUCGCGGCCUAUCAGCUUGUUGGUGGGGUAAUGGCCUACCAAGGCGUCGACGGGUAGCCGGCCUGAGAGGGUGUACGGCCACAUUGGGACUGAGAUACGGCCCAGACUCCUACGGGAGGCAGCAGUGGGGAAUAUUGCACAAUGGGCGCAAGCCUGAUGCAGCGACGCCGCGUGGGGGAUGACGGCCUUCGGGUUGUAAACUCCUUUCGCUAGGAACGAAGCGCAAGUGACGGUACCUGGAGAAGAAGCACCGGCUAACUACGUG
rnacentral:rRNA from 1 species